rnacentral:rRNA from 1 species
GGAAUAUUGGUCAAUGGACGAGAGUCUGAACCAGCCAAGUAGCGUGAAGGAUGACUGCCCUAUGGGUUGUAAACUUCUUUUAUAUGGGAAUAAAGUUUUCCACGUGUGGAAUUUUGUAUGUACCAUAUGAAUAAGGAUCGGCUAACUCCGUGCCAGCAGCCGCGGUAAUACGGAGGAUCCGCGCGUUAUCCGGAUUUAUUGGGUUUAAAGGGAGCGUAGGCGGGUUGUUAAGUCAGUUGUGAAAGUUUGCGGCUCAACCGUAAAAUUGCAGUUGAUACUGGCAUCCUUGAGUACAGUAGAGGUAGGCGGAAUUCGUGGUGUAGCGGUGAAAUGCUUAGAUAUCACGAAGAACUCCGAUUGCGAAGGCAGCCUGCUGGACUGUAACUGACGCUGAGGCUCGAAAGCAUGGGUAGCGAACAG